rnacentral:rRNA from 1 species
UACAGAGGUCCCAAGCGUUGUUCGGAUUCACUGGGCGUAAAGGGUGCGUAGGCGGUCGGGUAAGUCUGAUGUGAAAUCUCACAGCUUAACUGUGAAACUGCAUUGGAUACUAUCCGGCUAGAGGAAUGGAGGGGAGACUGGAAUACUUGGUGUAGCAGUGAAAUGCGUAGAUAUCUAAAGGAACACCAAUGGCGAAGGCAGCUUGCUGGGUCUUUUCUGACACUGAGAUGCGAAAGCGUGGGGAGCAAACGGG